AUACCGUACAGACUUCUGACAGAUCGAAUGAAAUGAUACCGUCACAACAGCAGCUCCAAAUGUCUCAGCCACUGCAAGAUAUCACAAAUUCACAAAUGAUGCGCAAUACAAGUUUACAUCAAUCAGAAGUUAGCCCAUAUUAUAAAGACCUGUAUGCAAGGAGAUUCAUACAACAUACUGAUUCUGGUAUGCCAGGCUUUAAACGCCGUCACUUGGAAACCGAAAUUUAUAUGUCUGAAAAUCGUGAAGAAUGGGACAGUAGCAUGUAUCCGGAGGAGUUGUUCCCC